AAGAGUUUAGUUAAAACUAUAACAUUAAUAUGUCAUAUUAAAAUUAUUAAAAAAUAAUAUCUCUUG
rnacentral:tRNA from 1 species